AAUCGUACUAUUCAGUGAUACAUUCGUUGAAUUGUGAAAGUGGAGCAUACUAAACUCCGCACCUAUGUAAAGCUUUAUCUCAGACAGCUUGCAACGAAAUGGAUGAGUAACUAAAACGGCCGCUAUGAAAUGAACAGAUGCCGCCACCGUUGUCUUGUGUGUUUGAUGUAACUCGACUGCUGUCACUGUUUUACAGUCCAUAUACGAUGGCGCUUUCGUUUUGAUGCGGUGAAUAGCGAAAAAGUGAUCGAUUGGCAGCAACUGCGCAGACUCAACUAACAGACAAGAGACGAAUAUCGAGCACGAUUGCGAAAAAACGAAAGUUUCGGUAAACGUGAAUGUGCCAGUGUCAGUUGUCCAAAUUUUCGCAAUAGAGCACAAUAAAGUCCAAUAUUUGGAAUUCCUAUUUGUCAA